rnacentral:rRNA from 1 species
AGUGGGGAAUAUUGGACAAUGGGGGCAACCCUGAUCCAGCAAUGCCGCGUGUGUGAAGAAGGCCUGAGGGUUGUAAAGCACUUUCAGUGGGGAGGAAAGGAUGAUAGUUAAUAGCUGUUAUCUGUGACGUUACCCACAGAAGAAGCACCGGCUAACUCCGUGCCAGCAGCCGCGGUAAUACGGAGGGUGCAAGCGUUAAUCGGAAUUACUGGGCGUAAAGCGCGCGUAGGUGGUUUAAUAAGUUGUCUGUGAAAGCCCUGGGCUCAACCUGGGAAAGCCAGGCAAAACUAUUAGACUAGAGUACGAGAGAGGGUAGUGGAAUUUCCAGUGUAGCGGUGAAAUGCGUAGAGAUUGGAAGGAACACCAGUGGCGAAGGCGGCUACCUGGCUUGAUACUGACACUGAGGUGCGAAAGCGUGGGGAGCAAA